UAUCCCACAUUCACGUCUUUCACAUCUAAGUAAAAUCUGUGAGAAAAACCUACUACAGUUUUCUCCUCUUCCGUCAAGAUAAUUUCUUCUCCUUCCAUUGAAUACGAAAAUCUCCAACACUUGUUGAUUCCAUAACCAAAAAUCUCAAACAUCACAGUGUAAAAGAGAAACUGGGAGAGCUGUGAUUACCUUCUGUGGUGCAAACUUUCUUCUUCCCAAAGGGUGAGCUUGUGCACGUUGUUUGCGGUGGGAACAGAAAGUGAUUGAGGAGUAAGCGUUUGAGAUUGAGCGGCGAUGGACGUGGAGGAUGUUGAGCAGAGUUCAUGGAUUGUUUUGUCAUGAUUAAUAAUUGUUGGAUUUGUCGUGUCUUCAUACUCGGCAUUUUCCGUGUCUUGAACGAUUCCGCUAAGAGUCCUUUUCUUUAGAAUUGUUUAUUCGUGCAGACUCUAACUCGUUUGAAAAUUGUUUACUGUCCACUGUUUAUUUCCUUAGAGUUGGUAUUAUUGUUAGGAAAAUAUUAUGACGUUUUCAAGGUUAAUUCAGUUAUUAAGAUUUUGGUCAAA